GAACGGGUGAGUAAUAUAUCGGAACGUACCCUAGAGUGGGGGGUAACGUAGCGAAAGUUACGCUAAUACCGAUACGAUCUAAGGAUGAAAGUGGGGGCUUCGCAAGAACCUCAUGCUCGUGGAGCGGCCGAUAUCUGAUUAGCUAGUUGGUAGGGUAAAAGCCUACCAAGGCAUCGAUCAGUAGCUGGUCUGAGAGGACGACCAGCCACACUGGGACUGAGACACGGCCCAGACUCCUACGGGAGGCAGCAGUGGGGAAUUUUGGACAAUGGGCGCAAGCCUGAUCCAGCAAUGCCGCGUGAGUGAAGAAGGCCUUCGGGUUGUAAAGCUCUUUUGUCAGGGAAGAAACGGUGUUUUCUAAUACAGAAUGCUAAUGACGGUACCUGAAGAAUAAGCACCGGCUAACUACGUGCCAGCAGCCGCGGUAAUACGUAGGGUGCAAGCGUUAAUCGGAAUUACUGGGCGUAAAGCGUGCGCAGGCGGUUUUGUAAGUCUGUCGUGAAAUCCCCGGGCUCAACCUGGGAAUGGCGAUGGAGACUGCAAGGCUAGAAUCUGGCAGAGGGGGGUAGAAUUCCACGUGUAGCAGUGAAAUGCGUAGAUAUGUUGGAG
rnacentral:rRNA from 1 species